UACAGAGGGGGCAAGCGUUGUUCGGAAUUACUGGGCGUAAAGGGCGCGUAGGCGGCCUGUUAAGUCGGACGUGAAAUCCCUCGGCUCAACCGGGGAACUGCGUCCGAUACUGGCGGGCUUGAAUUCGGGAGAGGGGUGUGGAAUUCCAGGUGUAGCGGUGAAAUGCGUAGAUAUCUGGAGGAACACCGGUGGCGAAGGCGGCAUCCUGGACCGACAUUGACGCUGAGGCGUGAAAGCCAGGGGAGCAAACGGG
rnacentral:rRNA from 1 species